UGAGAAACACAUUUUAGAACUUAUACUGAUAGUACUCACCUGAGUACCUUCGAUGGUUUCCAUUUUGCCGCUUUGAGGAAUUGGUCUUUCCCGAGAACUGUGCAUGGUCUCCACUUCGGUUUCAGGAGUGGAUUUGGUCUUGACCGAGAUAGUUUAGUACUGGAAGUUGUCUAGCUACCCGUGUAACGCAAACAGUCGGUCUGCGGUGAGAUUCGAACCAGCAGUCAUUCGGUCAGAAAGGAUGGUAAACUUCUCACUUUUUUCCUUAUAGUUCUCGCAGCUGACGUGUUUUGACGACAGAUGUCAGCACAGAAGGAAACUAAAGGCGUAGGUGGCGCUGUGUUAAGAGUAGAGCAGUUUGAAGUGCUGCGAUUCCAUUUUCGCUUAGGAAAAUAGCAAUUAUUGAUAAAAAUAAAACAUGUAUUUUUCAGUAGAAGAAAUAAUUUUUAAUGAAAAAGAGCCUUACUAUAUGACACGAUGUUUAUCGAUUUUAACAGUUCAAACCAAUUCAAAUGGAUAUCCCUAAGGAACACCUCUAUAAUGCCUCAGUGCUUCCGGUCCUUCCUUUCUCGAAAGCACUGCGAAGGCUGCCGGCAGCGUGGUUGUUCCUUUCGCGAGUUGGUGUCUGGCGCACAGCGCGAACGUCUCAUGAGCAAGAAGCCGUAGAGACGAUGCUCUCAAUGUUGGACACCGAAGUGAGGCAACUCAUCGGGCACAACGCCAAAAUGUCCCUGUUGUGUCCCGGCCCUGGGUCACGCGUGUCGCGCCUUGCCAGCCGUGACCUUGAACGACCUUGACCGGCCGGGCCGGGCCGAGCGGCCGAGGGUCAGUAUCGUCCGAGCGGCGCUGGUGUCAACACAGCUGAGUGCCGCGAGGUGAGG